UACAGGGGGGGCAAGCGUUGUUCGGAAUUACUGGGCGUAAAGGGCUCGUAGGCGGCCAACUAAGUCAGACGUGAAAUCCCUCGGCUUAACCGGGGAACUGCGUCUGAUACUGGAUGGCUUGAGAUUGGGAGAGGGAUGCGGAAUUCCAGGUGUAGCGGUGAAAUGCGUAGAUAUCUGGAGGAACACCGGUGGCGAAGGCGGCAUCCUGGACCAACACUGACGCUGAGGAGCGAAAGCCAGGGGAGCAAACAGG
rnacentral:rRNA from 1 species